GAGCAAAAUGUCUCAAAACUGUGGACAUUUUGAAUCAAGUUUAAAAUAUCGUGUGUCCAAUUUUCGAAGGUUGGUCAAAAAAGAGACAUUUGUUUGUGAUUUAAGUAACAUUGCCAUCAAUCUCUUCAAUGUGGCAUAUGGCAAGGUACCCUGUGUAAUGUGCAAAUGACUUGAACCUCCAAAUCCACUCAAGAAUAUAGACAUUAGUUCAUGAAUAGGGUUAGAUUAACUUUAUAUUGCAACUUUGAAAGAAUUGAAUUGAAAAAAAAAAACAUCAAAAUGUCUUUCCUCCUUGUCACUUUAUAGAAUGCCACUAAGUAUCGUCUUUCUUAGGCCUAUGUGAGCGAGAAGGACGUGUAUUAUUCUGCCAUCUGGUGAUAUAUGAAAACUGCCCAUUCUACACACACACGCACACAGACACACACACACACACACACACACAGGCCCCCACCCACCUCUCCGCCAUUUAUUGUAACGUACAAACAAGACUAAACGUGUUACCAAUGCCAAUGUAAACAAACCCACGUGACUAGUUAAUGUAAACAAACCCACGUGACUACUUAAUGUAAACAAACCCACGUGACUAGAUAAUGUAAACAAACAUACCACGUGACUUUUUCGAUGUAAACAAAACGUCACGUGACCGAAAGUACAGGGAAGAACAUUGUAAACAGCCGCCAUCUUUGAAAAAAAAAAAAAAAACACGAAUAAGGCAAACAAACACACACAAACACGUGGAUGUAUAGCCAGUUUGCGUGUAAACAAACACAAACAAACGCAGCAAACACAAGAGAUUUGGUGGACACGUUUUGUCUCGAGAUUAGGAGUUAAAACACACACACACACACACACACACACACACACACACACACACACACACACACACACUAGAUAAA